rnacentral:rRNA from 1 species
CCUACGGGGGGCAGCAGUGAGGAAUAUUGGGCAAUGGACGAGAGUCUGAACCAGCCAAGUAGCGUGAAGGAUGACUGCCCUAUGGGUGGUAAACUUCUUUUAUAAAGGAAUAAAACGAGGCACGUGUGCCUUUUUGCAUGUACUUUAUGAAUAAGGAUCGGCUAACUCCGUGCCAGCAGCCGCGGUAAUACGGGGGAUCCGAGCGUUAUCCGGAUUUAUUGGGUUUAAAGGGAGCGUAGAUGGGUUGUUAAGUCAGUUGUGAAAUUUUGCGGCUCAACCGUAAAAUUGCAAUUGAUACUGGCAGUCUUGAGUACAGUUGAGGUAAGCGGAAUUCGUGGUGUAGCGGUGAAAUGCUUAGAUAUCACGAAGAACCCCGAUUGCGAAGGCAGCUUACUAAACUGUGACUGACAUUGAUGCUCGAAAGUGUGGGUAUCAAACAGGAUUAGAUACCCGUGUAGUC